GACGAACGCUGGCGGCGUGCUUAACACAUGCAAGUCGAACGGAAAGGCCCUGCUUUUGUUGGGUGCUCGAGUGGCGAACGGGUGAGUAACACGUGAGUAACCUGCCCUUGACUUUGGGAUAACUUCAGGAAACUGGGGCUAAUACCGGAUAGGAGCUCCUGCUGCAUGGUGGGGGUUGGAAAGUUUCGGCGGUUGGGGAUGGACUCGCGGCUUAUCAGCUUGUUGGUGGGGUAGUGGCUUACCAAGGCUUUGACGGGUAGCCGGCCUGAGAGGGUGACCGGCCACAUUGGGACUGAGAGACGGACCAGACUGCUACGGGAGGCAGCAGUGGGGAAUAUUGCACAAUGGGCGGAAGCCUGAUGCAGCAACGCCGCGUGCGGGAUGACGGCCUUCGGGUUGUAAACCGCUUUCGCCUGUGACGAAGCGUGAGUGACGGUAAUGGGUAAAGAAGCACCGGCUAACUACGUG
rnacentral:rRNA from 1 species